rnacentral:misc_RNA from 1 species
GCAAACUUGGUCAUUUAGAGGAAGUAAAAGUCGUAACAAGGUUUCCGUAGGUGAACCUGCGGAAGGAUCAUCACUGAUUCAGGGGGAGAGUGUGUGCGUGCGUUCACGCGCGCGCCGCGCCACCCCAACCAAUCUUUUGUGCACGGUUUCACGGUCAACGAGAGACGCCGCGCGUGUGUUGGCAAGUCAAGUGUCCCCGUCCCCCCUCCCCCCAGUGUGGGAGAGGUGGUGUGGGGGUGUGACUUCUUGCCAACCGCAUGCGUCUGUGCGCGUUCUCUACGCACUUACACAAUCUCUUGUGGCAAUCUCUGUCUAACGCGUACCUAAAUAUUAUUAACACAUACAACUUUCAACAAUGGAUCUCUUGGCUCUCGCAUCGAUGAAGAACGCAGC